rnacentral:lncRNA from 1 species
AGGCCCUGCUUCCUCCCUCCUUCUCUAACCCCCUCUCCUUUUCCUCUUCCCUUGCUCCUCCCUUCCCCCUCCUAUCUCACAUAUCUUAAUUCCACUGAACCAUCCUAGACUAGUUAUACAGCCUGUAUCUUUUAAGAAUAAGAACGAUCUCUUAAAUAACAUAUGUACUGCCUUCCUGAAAGUUUUGGGCUGGCCCUGUGUGAUCUUUUUGUAUCCCAACAGAGAUUCCUUUGCUGCAGCACCUUGCAGUCUGACUGUGACCCACAGGACAAAGAAAGGAGAUGCUCUGUGGGUGACCUUUCACACAGUGGAGCUGCCUUGCCACAAACAUUCUAUCACUGCCUGAAUUCAUUGGCCUUCCCACUCCAGUGGAUUCUAGCCUAUGGUUCUGACUGCUACAGGAGAUGCAUUGUUCUGCCCCUGACUGCUUAUCUUUUCCUGUGCUAAGGGCCCAGAUGUGGUCUUCUGCCAAAGACUGCUAGGAAUUGGGAGAUAGCAGCCCUGUCUCUCUUUCAAGCCGCCUUAUCUAAGGAAGACUUAAAAUUAGACCCUCUUUCCAAGGUUUAAUACAGAGGACCUUGGUUGUCUGGUGCACCAACCUACCUUGUCAUUGUCCCACCCUCUACCGUAUCAUAGGGCCCUUUCCCACAUUUCUUCUUAUUUUUUAUUUAUCUUUAAAAAAUUUUAAUGAUCUUUUGAAGAUCUUAUUCUAAACUAUGGCUCAUCCAUCACGGAGACAUUGUAUCUAGAUGCAGUAAGAAAUCUCUUUAAGAGUGAGUUCUAAGCAAAGUCACCGGGAUGGGCCGUUUUUCAGAGAUGGUGGUAUGCUUCCAUGCCUCCCGAAUUACAGAGUAGUCUGCAGCAGGACUCUGUUAUGAAUUGGCAUAUUAAGAGGGGACACCUGUCACUGGGAACUUCUCAGUGCUGCCAUCGGCUAUACUGGGAGAGAGGGGCACCUCUGUGCAGAUGGCAGGAGUCACCAGCCAGGCAAGGAAGGGAAGUGGAACAGAACCAGGCAGCAGGAUUUUGGCACUCAGCACGCAUUCAGCCAAGUACCCAGCUGGCCUUGUCACGGUCUCCACCCUUCAGCUCUGUAUUCAUUAGGAAAUCUUUUUUUCCUUUCUCACAGAGAUAGAAAUCUUUCUUCCAGACAUGGCAAGUGUCAGGGUUCAUGUCCUUCAUUCAGUCUGAAUGUUUGCCAAACAAGAGAUAAACAAAGUAUUGUGACUGGAGGGGGGAGCCGAAGGAGCCAGAAAGGCUGCAUAGAACCGGAUAUGCUGACGUCUGGGUAUCAGGACAGAAAUCCAGGAAUUCCAGGGAGAAGUGCAUUAGAAGAAAGGACUUCCAGAUGCCCACUGAAGUGGCACGCCUCCCAAGUCUUACAUUUGAGCCUGGGCUUUAGGACAGGCUGUUGUCCAACCAGUUUGGCCACUGCCACAAUGCAGUUGCUGCUGAGGGAAGAGGGAGGCUCCUGUGAACAACUUGAGGAGCCACCCUCCACCUCAGUGCCUUCUGGCGCCUGCUUUUUCUGUGCUGGGAAAACUCCACCCCAGUUGUCAUCUUUUAGAUGUUGGCAGUCAGUGGGCUUUUAAGGGCAGCUCAGAUGUCCCUUCAGUGGAGAGGGUUUUCCCCACCUACCCCAGACCCUCUCUGCUAUGACAUUUAUCACAGUCUAACAAAGGAAAGUUUCUCCCCGUUCACUUCACUGUUAUCUAUCUUCUCUUUGCUUGACGCUCCACAAGGGCAUAGCGAAUCUCCACCUUAUAAUAAAGGCAGACUUUUAUCUAAUGCCCAGAAACUUAAAACAAUGCCUAGCACAGCACAGGUCGAUUAUUACACUGUAUUGUAAGAUCAAUGGUGAGGAGGUAAGUUGGUGGAUAUCUAUGGAUUGAUUAGUGAGUAGACGGGAUGAAGGAGGAGGGAUAAAGAAGAGGACAGGAAUUGUGGGCCUUGACUGAGAACAGAAUUAUGGGAAAGAUUGGUCAUGGAGUUGGAUGACACAGGUUCUAAGGUAUAUUAGACACAGGAUGCUUGUGCGCUUAUGCCUACACUUUUGAAGCUGACUUCCAGAUCACGUGACUGUCUCAGGGCCGGCAGGUUUUGCGUCCAUUCUUACUGACUCAGUCAAGCACAAGAGAGCAGGUCCUUCUGCACCACAUGAUUUAUCUGUUUACUUCUUCUGGGCAUUCUCUACCCUCGGAAACGUCUUUUUACCCAAAAUACCCCAAAUGAAUCACCUCCUGGAACCUGGUAUUGCCAAAGGUCAGAACUGUGAAUGAAUGUCUGGCUCCCUGAAGACAGAUGGGAUGGGUCACGUGAAGGUUGACACCGAGGCUGGGAAUGCAGGGAAGGUGGGCGGAGGAGUUGGUGAAGGAAGCCGGGCUCCUUCCCACCAAGCAGCUCCACUAGUAGUUUGAAGUGAUUAAGUCACCACAGCCCUGGUGUGUGACUGAUAGAUAAAUAUGCGAUUCAGAGCAAAUCUUACUGGUCUUAAAUUGUUUGUGCUGCCUCUUGUUUCCCAGAAAAUUGGAAGUUGAUAAUUAAUGAAAUCAGUUUUUCAGAUGUGUUUUAUCUGAGACACCCAAGCCUUCAGUCUGUGGUACCCAUUUUUAUACAUAGAGUUCCCACACUAGCAGUUAUCUUUCAUACUAAGUAAAGUCUGGAUCCUGGACCAGGUACUAGAUUAGAACAAACUUUGGUAUCUGGGCUGAAUAAUGUACAUCUGUUUGCUGAGAAUUGGGUGUGAUGUUUGUGUGUGUAUGUCUGUCUGUCUGUCUAUGUUUAGUUCUCUCUCUCUCUCUCUCUCUCUCUCUCUGUGUGUGUGUGUGUGUGUGUGUGUGCGUGUGGGUCUGUGUCUGUGUUGGUGUCUGUGUCUCAUGUCUUCUUGUCCCGGCCAGAGUCUUAUCGCUUGGCUCAUGGAGUACAUAUAGAUGAAGUCGGGUUUCCAGCCUCUUAGUAUUAAAGGAAAAAUAUUCCAGCAGCUGUUUCUGUUUAGCAGGGAUUAUCUUUGGGAUUGUGAGUAUUUAGAAUUUUUCCUUCUUUUUAUUUAUCUGUAAUUUGUGACUUCUUUCUACAUUAAUUGUAUGUUAAGGAAAAGAAUGCAGUAAGUUUAAAUUCUAAGUAUAAUAAGCAGAAAAAAGCCUUAUUACUGUGAAGAGAAGGGAUGGUUCUUUUGGCUUUGGUAUGGUAGUCAUGAAAGAAUUUAAAUACCUAGGGACACACCUGUCAGUUGGGAAAAGCUGUGGAUGGAUACCUCUGGGUAAUGUUAGCCUUUUGACUUUAACAGAGGUAUACUUGCCCUCCAUUCCCUUGACUGCCUGAAACAUGGCCUUGUUGGAUCCUCCUGUGUCAUUUGGUUUACAAUGGACCUACGGUGGUUUAAGCAGCCUGCCUGACCCUAAACAUAUGCAGGCAGCCUGGGCCUGAUCUGGCCUUGGGUUUGAGACCAAGGAACCCAUACACCAGGGAAGGAAGACCAAGGAACCCAUACACCAGGGAAGGUGAGAGGCAGAAUAGCCGGCAGAGUUGCAAGCAGAGAUGUUGCUCUUGUAGAUUAUGUAGUCCUGCCUCUCAAUGGGAAUGCUUCUACACAGGAGAUACCCAGACGAGUGGCAGGCAGGCUGAGUGCUAUAAGAGCUUUCAACAUGGCAAUUAUUUUGAGUUAACAUAAAUCCUCUUGGAAAAAGUUCAAAAAUGAUUAUUGCCUGGAUUCCUUGGGCCAUCAUGUUUGUUGUUAGAAUUCACACUGGUUUUCAGACUGUAAUCUAAAAGUCUUCUUUCCAUCUAAGAGACUACCUAAAACAGCAUCCUCCAAGUGCAUUCAAAAGAAUACUUCAUGGUGAUCCACUGACAUUCUUAUGAACAUGCCUAGUCAGGUGACUUGAUUAAGAUGUGACUAAUCCAUCACAGGGAUAUGGCUUCUACUCCCGGAGUCUCUCUUGUUACAAUGUCUUGGCAACCAAAUGAAUAGUUUCCCAUGGCCAGAUUUAUCAUUUAUAAAGGUUUUCAUGAUUCAGAGUUAACGUGUGUGUGUGUGUGUGUGUUAUCUAUUAGAAACCCUUGCUUUAUUUCUUUUCGUCUUUCAAAUUAUAAAUCCCAUAGUUCUUAUUGUGGCAGACCUUAAGAAUUACUUAGAGGAUCCAGGACAUAUCUUCAGGCUUGUGUCUCUGAAACCCCAAACAUGGGAGAGCCAUGAAGAGGUUGAGCAUGAGAGAGGUUUGGCUUGCCAUCUCUUCUCAUAGCAUCAAUUUAGACAGCUCAAUUUUACAUAUGAGCCUUCCCACACAUAAUUCCUUUUACC